UAAAUAGAAAUAUCAUUUAAUUAUCUGUUGUUUGGGGUUAUAUGCCCCACCAUUGCUCUCCAUUAGCCUGGAAAUCAGAAUUGAUUACAGUGACAUAUAGAAACCCUUUCCCUCAUAACUCUCCCUCUCUCUUCCAGUAAAGAGAAUUCUGUGCCAUGAACAAUGACGCACCAGAAAAAAAAAUUCUAAACUUAGUAACAAAAGAGUCCAAUUGGCCAGGUGCUCUAAGUCUGUGAUCUGCUUGAUAAAUUGUAUUUAAUGCUUCCCUGGAAAUUCAAAUGGUUUACCAACCCAACCCAACUUCAAGGGAUCUCUUCUCACCAUACUCAAAACACUGUAAGAUAGUCUUGAAUAUUUGGUUGACCCAAAUGUCAAAAACCCCCAAACCCCAAAUUGCUUCCCUUUUUUAGGAGGCUAUCACAUUACUUAUUUCAUUCCAAUAAGUAGGUGUGAUUUGUUAUGUUCAAAUAAGCCAAAAUACGUGAGGAUGUGACUCUUAAUACUUGCUGCAUUCCAAAGGGCAGAGAGGGUUUUCAGUUUGGUCAAGAGAUGCUUUCAGGUCUCAUUAGGCUUAGCAUAGGACUUAAUGUUCAUUAAUCCGAAGCGGAUUUUUUUAAACAUUCACUCACAUCACCUAUGCCUUACUAUCUAUGUAUAUGUAUGUAUUUUUGUGUACUAUUUCAUCAAAAGUGACUGGAGUUAAAGUUACGUCUGUCUCAUGUGUUUAAGUUUCACAUUUUAUUGUCCAAAAACUCUGGCUAGUGUUUGGCCACAAAAUUUGUCCAUGAAGCCCAUUCUGAAAUCUCAUUUUCAUCUAGCAUGUUACAUUGCCAAAAUUAGCUGGAAUCUUGGGGCAUGAAAUUCACACAGUUCUGAUUCAGUGACCCACUGUUUAUGUCAUAAAGCCUGAUCUCCUUAGCCUGUCAUGAAUAACCCUCUAUGAUCUAACGUCAAAUGACAUUUCCAAGCUCAGCUUUCACUACUCUCUCCUUCACUAUUCUACUCUAAAAUGGUCUAUUAAUGGAGAAGCAACUUGUGGCCAUAAGAAGCCACAGCACAUUACCUGUUUCUGCUAAGUGAUUGUAUCCUUCAUUGCUUUCUUUUUCCCCUACUCCACCAUGCCUAGAAUAGUGCCUUGCACAAGAGGGGUAGGGGGAGGGAGGGUGGACAAUAAAUAUCUAUGGAAUGAAUGAGUUAAUUUUUAUUUUAUAGAGACUUUAUACAAAUAUUUUUCCUGAUAUCUUAAUUAUAUGUAAUGUUAUUUUGGACAUAAAAGAAAAAUCUAUACAGAAAAGAAAUAUUGGCCAUAUUACAUCUUAUUCUGUGGAAGGGCUUUUACUCUAGUUAUACCCUUUGUGUUGAAUGACUGUCAUUAAGAACCUGGCAUGGGAAUGAAAGGAAACAAAAUAGAAAAAAAAA